rnacentral:rRNA from 1 species
GAGUUUGAUCUUGGCUCAGAUUGAACGCUGGCGGCAGGCCUAACACAUGCAAGUCGAGCGGAUGACGGGAGCUUGCUCCUUGAUUCAGCGGCGGACGGGUGAGUAAUGCCUAGGAAUCUGCCUGGUAGUGGGGGACAACGUUUCGAAAGGAACGCUAAUACCGCAUACGUCCUACGGGAGAAAGCAGGGGACCUUCGGGCCUUGCGCUAUCAGAUGAGCCUAGGUCGGAUUAGCUAGUUGGUGGGGUAAUGGCUCACCAAGGCGACGAUCCGUAACUGGUCUGAGAGGAUGAUCAGUCACACUGGAACUGAGACACGGUCCAGACUCCUACGGGAGGCAGCAGUGGGGAAUAUUGGACAAUGGGCGAAAGCCUGAUCCAGCCAUGCCGCGUGUGUGAAGAAGGUCUUCGGAUUGUAAAGCACUUUAAGUUGGGAGGAAGGCAGUAAGUUAAUACCUUGCUGUUUUGACGUUACCGACAGAAUAAGCACCGGCUAACUCUGUGCCAGCAGCCG